rnacentral:rRNA from 1 species
UACAGGGGCCCCAAGCGUUAAUCGGAAUUACUGGGCUUAAAGGGUGCGUAGGCGGUCCCGUAAGUGCUCUGUGAAAGCCCUCGGCUCAACCGAGGAACAGCAGGGCAUACUGCGGGACUUGAGGAAGGUAGAGGCCGUUGGAACGCUCGGUGGAGCGGUGGAAUGCGUAGAGAUCGAGCGGAACGCCAAAAGUGAAGACAGACGGCUGGGCCUUUCCUGACGCUGAGGCACGAAAGCGUGGGGAGCAAACCGGAUUAGAUACCCGGGUAGUCCACGCCCUAAACGAUGUAUGCUAGAUCGGCCAGGCUCUGACGUCUGGCUGGUCGGAGAGAAAUUGUUAAGCAUACCGCCUGGGGAGUACGGUCGCAAGGCUAAA